rnacentral:rRNA from 1 species
UACGAAGGGGGCUAGCGUUGUUCGGAAUUACUGGGCGUAAAGCGCACGUAGGCGGAUAUUUAAGUCAGGGGUGAAAUCCCAGAGCUCAACUCUGGAACUGCCUUUGAUACUGGGUAUCUCGAGUAUGGAAGAGGUGAGUGGAACUGCGAGUGUAGAGGUGAAAUUCGUAGAUAUUCGCAAGAACACCAGUGGCGAAGGCGGCUCACUGGCCCGGUACUGACGCUGAGGUGCGAAAGCGUGGGGAGCAACAGG